ACGUCAAAUCAUCAUGCCCCUUAUGUCUUGGGCUACACACGUGCUACAAUGGCCAGUACAACAGGUAGCGAAGGGGUGACCCGGAGCCAAUCCCCAAAACUGGUCUCAGUUCGGAUUGUAGGCUGCAAUUCGCCUACAUGAAGCCGGAAUCGCUAGUAAUCGCGGAUCAGCAUGCCGCGGUGAAUACGUUCCCGGGCCUU
rnacentral:rRNA from 1 species